GGACUACUGGGGUUUCUAAUCCUGUUCGCUCCCCACGCUUUCGCUCCUCAGCGUCAGUAUCGGCCCAGAGACCCGCCUUCGCCACCGGUGUUCCUCCUGAUAUCUGCGCAUUUCACCGCUACACCAGGAAUUCCAGUCUCCCCUACCGAACUCAAGUCUGCCCGUAUCGACUGCAAGCCCACAGUUAAGCUGUAGGUUUUCACAGUCGACGCGACAAACCGCCUACGAGCUCUUUACGCCCAAUAAUUCCGGACAACGCUCGCACCCUACGUAUUACCGCGGCGGCUGGCAC
rnacentral:rRNA from 1 species